UACGGGGGGAGCAAGCGUUGUUCGGAUUUACUGGGCGUAAAGGGCGCGUAGGCGGCCAACUAAGUCAGACGUGAAAUCCCUCGGCUUAACCGGGGAACUGCAUCUGAUACUGGAUGGCUUGAGAUUGGGAGAGGGAUGCGGAAUUCCAGGUGUAGCGGUGAAAUGCGUAGAUAUCUGGAGGAACACCGGUGGCGAAGGCGGCAUCCUGGACCAACACUGACGCUGAGGAGCGAAAGCCAGGGGAGCAAACGGG
rnacentral:rRNA from 1 species